GGAAGGAUCAUUACUGAGUCGUCGACACGAGUUGUUGCUGGUCCCCACAUGGGGGCAUGUGCACGCUCUGUUUACACAUCCACUCACACCUGUGCACCCUCUGUAGUUCUAUGGUCUGGGGGACCCUGUCUUCCUUCUGUGGUUCUGCAUCUUUACACACACACUGUAAUAAAGUCAUAUGGAAUGUACACCGCGUUUAACGCAAUACAAUACAACUUUCAGCAAC
rnacentral:misc_RNA from 1 species